GUUCAAGUCACUGUCAAUCUUAUUUGUCAAUGUAACCAUGACUGUGCCAUCCCUAGCUUGUCAGAUACUUGUCAGAUACUCACAGUUUUGCCCAAUAAACAAGAACCAAUAAAAAAUGGGAACCCAGUUGGGAAAUUUCUGGUCAUAUUUUUCCUCCCUAAUAGGACAAAGCUAUUCUUCCCACACACAUCUUUCAAUUGUAAGGCAACAAUGGGAAAGCAGAAAGCUCACAAACUUAGAAAGAUGAAUUAGAAGAAUCUGGAGUACCGAGGUUCUUUAUGACAUUUUUAAAAUUUGAAGUCAAUCAUAAGAUAAUAAGACAAAGCUAAAAAAAAUAUAAAAACCUUGGAUCUUGGAAUUGAGUUGUUAUUCCAAACAGACCCUAAAAUAAAGAAAUGAAGGAAGGAGGUAUAACAGGACAGUAAGAACUCAAAUAUUCCAGGCUGAUAAUAUCGGCAAAUAUUUCUUAAUUCUGUGUUUCAGGGAAGUCAUAGAGGAGAAAUUAAAAUAAAGAAGCUGGUGAUUGAAAGAAAAAUAUAGCUUUAUAAAAAGUGGCAUUCAAGCCAGGUGUGAUGGCACACACCUGUAUUCAUAGGAAGCCGAGGCAUAAAAAUCACAAAUUUGAGACCAGCCUGGGCAACUAAGUGAGAAUCCGUAUCAAAAUGAAAUUUCAGAUGGGACUGGGAAUAUAGCUUAGUGGUAGAGGGCUUGCAUAGCUUGUGCCAGGUCUUGAGUUUAAUCCCUAGUACUGAAAGAAAG
rnacentral:lncRNA from 1 species